rnacentral:rRNA from 1 species
GGACGAACGCUGGCGGCGUGCUUAACACAUGCAAGUCGAACGGAAAGGCCCUGCUUUUGUGGGGUGCUCGAGUGGCGAACGGUUGAGUAACACGUGAGUAACCUGCCCUUGACUUUGGGUUAACUUCAGGAAACUGGGGCUAAUACCGGAUAGGAGCUCCUGCUGCAUGGUUGGGGUUGGAAAGUUUCUGCGGUUGGGGAUGGACUCGCGGCUUAUCAGCUUGUUGGUGGGGUAGUGGCUUACCAAGGCUUUGACGGGUAGCCGGCCUGAGAGGGUGACCGGCCACAUUGGGACUGAGAUACGGCCCAGACUCCUACGGGAGGCAGCAGUGGGGAAUAUUGCACAAUGGGCGGAAGCCUGAUGCAGCAACGCCGCGUGCGGGAUGACGGCCUUCGGGUUGUAAACCGCUUUCGCCUGUGACGAAGCGUGAGUGACGGUAAUGGGUAAAGAAGCACCGGCUAACUACGUG